AUUGAACGCUGGCGGCAGGCCUAACACAUGCAAGUCGAACGGAUGAACGGUGCUUGCUUGCGCUUCCAGGUGGGGAGGGGCGGGCAUGUCAUGGAAAUAUCCUGGUCUUCUGUUUCUAAGGGCCUAAAGCAGGGCCACUUACGCCAUUCGCCCAUACGAAGAACGGGGGGAAUCUGCGGACCUUCGGCUCUUGUGGGACCCUAGGUCGGAUUAGCUAGUUGGUGGGUUAACGGCCUACCAAGGCGACGAUCCGAAACUGGUCUGAGAGGAUGAUCAGCCACACUGGAACUGAGACACGGUCCAGACUCCUACGGGAGGCAGCAGUGGGGAAUAUUGGACAAUGGGCGAAAGCCUGAUCCAGCCAUGCCGCGUGUGUGAAGAAGGUCUUCGGAUUGUAAAGCACUUUAAGUUGGGAGGAAGGGCAGUAAGUUAAUACCUUGCUGUUUUGACGUUACCAAAAGAAUAAGCACCGGCUAACUUCGUG
rnacentral:rRNA from 1 species